rnacentral:misc_RNA from 1 species
UAAAAAAAAAUCGACAUCGUUGCUGUUGUUUCAUGGUGACUUUACGUCGGAGAUUGGGUUUUCUUAAACCUUUCGGUUUAAGUAACUUAAAAUUUUUUGUUUCACGAGUCCACGAACGUUUCUAAGAUCUUUUUUUUCUUUACACGUUUGUGGUGUCGAAUUGUGUCUUUAUUAGACGUGACCGUUGCAUCGGAUCGCGUCCAUAAAUAUUUCGUUAA